UACGUAGGGUGCGAGCGUUGUCCGGAAUUAUUGGGCGUAAAGGGCUCGUAGGCGGUCUGUUGCGUCAGGAGUGAAAACCCGGGGCUCAACCCCGGGCCUGCAGCCGAUACGGGCAGACUAGAGUUCGGCAGGGGAGACUGGAAUUCCUGGUGUAGCGGUGAAAUGCGCAGAUAUCAGGAAGAACACCUAUGGCGAAAGCAGCUCUCUGGGACGGUACUGACGCUGAGACGCGAAAGCGUGGGGAGCGAACAGG
rnacentral:rRNA from 1 species